UGAAACCGUUUAGGGGUAAACCUGAGAAACCCGAAAGGUCGAAGGAAGAAAUUCAAUCGCGUUUCGUUGGUUGGCACUAAGUAGAUUGUGUGACGGAUAUUUUUUCGAAAAUGUCUGCACCGUUUAUUUAUGUGAACUGGCUGCGAACGUGUGCACUUUUCUUCUGGUAGGACGUCGCGAUUCGUUGAGCAUCGGUCUAAGACAUAUGGUGGAGACCAUUUACUCUCUAUACUUUUGUAUAGGGUUUAACUGGACCCGUAUUGUUCCGGCCGAUACGUUUCGACGAUAUAAUUAAUGAUUGUAAAUCGCUGCUUUUUAUUAGCGUUCAUAAUUUCAGCAAGCACUUUAGUUUUGUGUUGAUUAUCGGACCUAGUGCCGGUACCGACCUCUAAAGUCUGUUAGUUGUUAUUUUCUUGAACAGAUUUAUAAUUCAUCAGCGACGCUUUAGUUUUGGGUAAUUUCAGGACCCGUCUUGAAACACGGACCAAGGAGUCUAGCAUGUUCGCAAGUCAAUGGGAUUUUGAUUAAACCCAAAGGCAUAAUGAAAGUGACGAAUUUGUUUUUCACAAACAAAUUCAAGGGAAGACGUAUAUAUAGUAAAAUGUAUAUUCUGCAUUCCCGGGGCGUCUCAUUCUCAUUGCGAGAGCAGAGGCGCACCAUAAGCGAAUACGCUGGGACCCGAAAGAUGGUGAACUAUGCCUGGUCAGGACGAA
rnacentral:rRNA from 1 species